rnacentral:rRNA from 1 species
AUGGUCAUCUUGAAAUCGCCAGUAGUCGCGAAUAUCUCCUUCCCUAAUCCAAGAUUGGAGAAAGAAGAUCUAAGAGGGACCUAUGGAGAAUAUAGUCAGAAAUCCACAAUAGAGUCCGACCAAAACGACCGAAUUAAUUAUCCUCAUCGAGAAACUUAG